GCGGCAUGUCGCGCGCGCCGGCGGGUGACCGCGACAGUUUCGCUAUCCGCUUCCCGCUCGAGCUGGACGUGCGCUACAAGGCGGCGAUCAUCGCCACGUGCUUCCUCAUUGAUUUCCUGUUCUAUGAUAAUUAAUUGAAGAAAGAAAUAUAUGAGAAAACAAUGGGUUAUCAAUAUAAAAUAGGUGUUAUGAGGAUAAGUUGUUUAUAUUUAUCUUUAAUAUCUGUUGUUUAUUGAUAUACUUACCUAAUAAUUAUAAUAAUAGGUAAUAAUUAAUUACCUAAUUUAAUUAUAUUGGUUCAUCGUCUAACUAGGUAGGUACCUAUUCUUAAUUUUAUAGUAAGUAUUGUUACCUAUAUUUUAUUCUGUGAUAUUUUAUACUCACGUAUCUUCUUAACAAAUUAUUUUAUGUUGUAAUUAUUACUUGAUGCUAAUUUUAAUUCAGCUAAAACGCUUUUCACUCACUCUACAUUGUACGCAGUGUGCGUAGCGUACCUAAUAAACAAAUUAUUACAACAAAUAAAUUAACUCUGCCCUCUGUUAACGAAUAGCGAAAUUGAUAUACUGUAGUUACAUAUUGCAGUCCUUUAAUAUCACACUAGAUGGCAGUCAACUGAAUGUAAUUAAAGUAUUUAUCUUGCGUUA